rnacentral:rRNA from 1 species
GUUCUUUGAGUUUUAUUUAGAAUCGUACCUGCCCUAUGAAAGUUUUUUAAAUGGCCGCAGUAAUUUGACUGUGCGAAGGUAGCAUAAUAAUUUGUCUUUUAAUUUGAGACUGGAAUGAAUGGUUUGACGAAAAAAUUGCUGUCUCUGGAGUUUUAGAUUUGAAAUUUACUUUUAAGUUAAAAGGCUUAAAUUUAGUUAAGGGACGAGAAGACCCCAUCAAGUUUUAUAACAUGAUUGGUAUUUAAAUUUCUAUUUAAAAUAGUUUGUGUUAUUUAACUGGGGCGGUUGAAAUAGAUUAUCUUUUUUUGUAGUAAUAUGUUUUAAAAUAAUUUUUGUAUUUAUUUUUGAUCCAAUGUUUUAUUGAUUAUAUGAAUAAAUUACUGUGGGGAUAACAGCGUUAUUUCUUUUAGGAGUUCAAAUUUACAAAGAAGUUUGCGACCUCGAUGUUGGAUUAAGUUAUUCUUAUUUGGUGAAGAAGCUAAUGAAGAGGGUCUGUUCGACCUUUAAAAUUUUACA